rnacentral:lncRNA from 1 species
AAUUAUGCAAUUUGACAUAUUUAAUAUAGUUACCAAAAAUUAUAUUAAAUUAAAUUAAUACUAAAAACAAAUAUGAUUACAAAAAUAACACAAAUACAAAAAUUAAAUUUCUCAAAAAAAAUAAACAAAAAAUAAAAGGGCGGGUCAGAAUCCAAAUUGUCACUAUUUAUUUAAAUCCAAACGCAGCUUUUGCGGUUGGUAGCGGUUGUCGGCGGUUUGCAACAAUCACUCAAAUCGCUAUAAACCGCUUCAAACCGCUACGAAUCUCAUAAAUUCAAAAGCUGGCUCCAGCUAA